rnacentral:rRNA from 1 species
GUGUGACUGCGUACCUUUUGUAUAAUGGGUCAGCGACUUAUAUUCUGUAGCAAGGUUAACCGAAUAGGGGAGCCGAAGGGAAACCGAGUCUUAACUGGGCGUUAAGUUGCAGGGUAUAGACCCGAAACCCGGUGAUCUAGCCAUGGGCAGGUUGAAGGUUGGGUAACACUAACUGGAGGACCGAACCGACUAAUGUUGAAAAAUUAGCGGAUGACUUGUGGCUGGGGGUGAAAGGCCAAUCAAACCGGGAGAUAGCUGGUUCUCCCCGAAAGCUAUUUAGGUAGCGCCUCGUGAAUUCAUCUCCGGGGGUAGAGCACUGUUUCGGCAAGGGGGUCAUCCCGACUUACCAACCCGAUGCAAACUGCGAAUACCGGAGAAUGUUAUCACGGGAGACACACGGCGGGUGCUAACGUCCGUCGUGAAGAGGGAAACAACCCAGACCGCCAGCUAAGGUCCCAAAGUCAUGGUUAAGUGGGAAACGAUGUGGGAAGGCCCAGACAGCCAGGAUGUUGGCUUAGAAGCAGCCAUCAUUUAAAGAAAGCGUAAUAGCUCACUGGUCGAGUCGGCCUGCGCGGAAGAUGUAACGGGGCUAAACCAUGCACCGAAGCUGCGGCAGCGACGCUGAUGCGUUGUUGGGUAGGGGAGCGUUCUGUAAGCCUGUGAAGGUGUACUGUGAGGUAUGCUGGAGGUAUCAGAAGUGCGAAUGCUGACAUAAGUAACGAUAAAGCGGGUGAAAAGCCCGCUCGCCGGAAGACCAAGGGUUCCUGUCCAACGUUAAUCGGGGCAGGGUGAGUCGACCCCUAAGGCGAGGCCGAAAGGCGUAGUCGAUGGGAAACAGGUUAAUAUUCCUGUACUUGGUGUUACUGCGAAGGGGGGACGGAGAAGGCUAUGUUGGCCGGGCGACGGUUGUCCCGGUUUAAGCGUGUAGGCUGGUUUUCCAGGCAAAUCCGGAAAAUCAAGGCUGAGGCGUGAUGACGAGGCACUACGGUGCUGAAGCAACAAAUGCCCUGCUUCCAGGAAAAGCCUCUAAGCAUCAGGUAACAUCAAAUCGUACCCCAAACCGACACAGGUGGUCAGGUAGAGAAUACCAAGGCGCUUGAGAGAACUCGGGUGAAGGAACUAGGCAAAAUGGUGCCGUAACUUCGGGAGAAGGCACGCUGAUAUGUAGGUGAAGUCCCUCGCGGAUGGAGCUGAAAUCAGUCGAAGAUACCAGCUGGCUGCAACUGUUUAUUAAAAACACAGCACUGUGCAAACACGAAAGUGGACGUAUACGGUGUGACGCCUGCCCGGUGCCGGAAGGUUAAUUGAUGGGGUCAGCGCAAGCGAAGCUCUUGAUCGAAGCCCCGGUAAACGGCGGCCGUAACUAUAACGGUCCUAAGGUAGCGAAAUUCCUUGUCGGGUAAGUUCCGACCUGCACGAAUGGCGUAAUGAUGGCCAGGCUGUCUCCACCCGAGACUCAGUGAAAUUGAACUCGCUGUGAAGAUGCAGUGUACCCGCGGCAAGACGGAAAGACCCCGUGAACCUUUACUAUAGCUUGACACUGAACAUUGAGCCUUGAUGUGUAGGAUAGGUGGGAGGCUUUGAAGUGUGGACGCCAGUCUGCAUGGAGCCGACCUUGAAAUACCACCCUUUAAUGUUUGAUGUUCUAACGUUGACCCGUAAUCCGGGUUGCGGACAGUGUCUGGUGGGUAGUUUGACUGGGGCGGUCUCCUCCUAAAGAGUAACGGAGGAGCACGAAGGUUGGCUAAUCCUGGUCGGACAUCAGGAGGUUAGUGCAAUGGCAUAAGCCAGCUUGACUGCGAGCGUGACGGCGCGAGCAGGUGCGAAAGCAGGUCAUAGUGAUCCGGUGGUUCUGAAUGGAAGGGCCAUCGCUCAACGGAUAAAAGGUACUCCGGGGAUAACAGGCUGAUACCGCCCAAGAGUUCAUAUCGACGGCGGUGUUUGGCACCUCGAUGUCGGCUCAUCACAUCCUGGGGCUGAAGUAGGUCCCAAGGGUAUGGCUGUUCGCCAUUUAAAGUGGUACGCGAGCUGGGUUUAGAACGUCGUGAGACAGUUCGGUCCCUAUCUGCCGUGGGCGCUGGAGAACUGAGGGGGGCUGCUCCUAGUACGAGAGGACCGGAGUGGACGCAUCACUGGUGUUCGGGUUGUCAUGCCAAUGGCACUGCCCGGUAGCUAAAUGCGGAAGAGAUAAGUGCUGAAAGCAUCUAAGCACGAAACUUGCCCCGAGAUGAGUUCUCCCUGACUCCUUGAGAGUCCUGAAGGAACGUUGAAGACGACGACGUUGAUAGGCCGGGUGUGUAAGCGCAGCGAUGCGUUGAGCUAACCGGUACUAAUGAACCGUGAGGCUUAACC